AAGACCAAGGGUUCCUGUCCAACGUUAAUCGGGGCAGGGUGAGUCGACCCCUAAGGCGAGGCCGAAAGGCGUAGUCGAUGGGAAACAGGUUAAUAUUCCUGUACUUGGUGUUACUGCGAAGGGGGGACGGAGAAGGCUAUGUUGGCCGGGCGACGGUUGUCCCGGUUUAAGCGUGUAGGCUGGUUUUCCAGGCAAAUCCGGAAAAUCAAGGCUGAGGCGUGAUGACGAGGCACUACGGUGCUGAAGCAACAAAUGCCCUGCUUCCAGGAAAAGCCUCUAAGCAUCAGGUAACAUCAAAUCGUACCCCAAACCGACACAGGUGGU
rnacentral:rRNA from 1 species